rnacentral:rRNA from 1 species
UACAGAGGGUGCGAGCGUUAAUCGGAAUUACUGGGCGUAAAGCGUGCGUAGACGGUUUCGUAAGUCGGGUGUGAAAUCCCCGGGCUCAACCUGGGAAUUGCAUUCGAAACUGCGAGGCUAGGGUACGGAAGAGGGAAGCGGAAUUUCUGGUGUAGCGGUGAAAUGCGUAGAUAUCAGGAGGAAUACCGGUGGCGAAAGCGACUCUCUGGACGGCAACUGACGCUGAGGCACGAAAGCGUGGGGAGCAAACAGG